GCCGGGUGCGGUGGCAUGUGCCUGUAAUCCAAGUCACUGGGAGGCUGAGGUUGGUGGAUCAAGUGAGCUGAGGAGCUCUGGGCUGCAGCACGCUAUGUCGAACGGGUGUCCACGCUAAGUUCGGUAUCGAUAUGGUGUUCCUGGGGGAGCCCGGACCACCAGGUUGUCUAAGGAGGGGUGAACCGGCCCAGGUCGGAAACGAAGCAGGUCAAAUCCCCCGUGCUGUCCAGUAGUGGGAUAAUACCUGUGAGUAGAUGCUGCAGUGCAGCCUUGGCAAAACAUCGAGACCUAAUCUUUU
rnacentral:SRP_RNA from 1 species